UACGUAGGGUGCAAGCGUUGUCCGGAAUCAUUGGGCGUAAAGCGCGUGUAGGCGGUCCGGUAAGUCGGCUGUGAAAGUCCAGGGCUCAACCCUGGGAUGCCGGUCGAUACUGCCGGACUAGAGUUCGGAAGAGGCGAGUGGAAUUCCCGGUGUAGCGGUGAAAUGCGCAGAUAUCGGGAGGAACACCAAUGGCGAAGGCAGCUCGCUGGGACGUUACUGACGCUGAGACGCGAAAGCGUGGGGAGCAAACAGG
rnacentral:rRNA from 1 species